CGGGGAACUGAAACAUCUAAGUACCCGUAGGAAGAGAAAUCAACCGAGAUUCUGUGAGUAGCGGCGAGCGAAAGCGGAAGAGCCCAGUUACUUUAAAGCUUUAAAUGUUUAGUGGAACGAUUUGGGAAAAUCGACGAUAGAGGGUGACAGUCCCGUACACGACAGGCAUUUGAGUGGGGUAACGAAGAGUAGGUCGGGACACGUGUUAUCUUGACUGAAGAUGGGGGGCCCA
rnacentral:rRNA from 1 species